rnacentral:rRNA from 1 species
CGGCGCUCCAAGUGGUAAUCAUGUUUAUUGGGCCUAAAGCAUCCGUAGCCGGCGCUGUAAGUUUUCGGUUAAAUCUGUACGCUCAACGUACAGGCUGCCGGGAAUACUGCAGCGCUAGGGAGUGGGAGAGGUAGACGGUACUCGGUAGGAAGGGGUAAAAUCCUUUGAUCUAUUGAUGACCACCUGUGGCGAAGGCGGUCUACCAGAACACGUCCGACGGUGAGGGAUGAAAGCUGGGGGAGCAAACCGGAUUAGAUACCCGAGUAGUCC